rnacentral:piRNA from 1 species
UUUGACACAUUCUCAGAAGUAAAAUUCCU